GUGGUGAGCUGCUCACUUGUAUUCCAGGCCAAGAGCUGCAGGCUGAUGGGUGAACCUCCUUCCCACCUCUCCUGAAGGAUGGGGAGUGACUGCUAAAGUGUUGGAGAUUAGGAUGACCUGCCUUUGAACGAGUGGAACCUGGAGAUCAACCAUAACCUCUGCUUAUGGAUCCUGUUUGGUGCCAUGCAAGAUGCUGCCCCUACAAGCUUCCACCAUCAUGAACAAGAGCCUGUCUCCUUCACCGUGCUUUCCUGCCAUCAUGG